CCUGGGAACGAUAAGUAGUGCUGUGUAACUUUGAGUGACUGUGAGAACAGUGAAAUGUCCCGUCAUUACAAAGUGAGAUUAGAUCAACAUCUUAUCAUCCAUGUGCAGAACUCGACAAUGCAAAACACAUUGAGAAAUACAGAAUGACUGGAUAAGAUGAUUCCAUCUCCAUACUUAUAAAGAGACGGGUAACUCACGACUGCUCAGCAGAGACGUCCACAUCACCUCUAGAUCUCACAGUGCUCACUUUGCUGUCUGUGACACCAGUUUUUUUUUGUUCUAACAAACAAGCUGUGGAAAGGAUGAAGGGUGUUAUGAUCUUUCUGGUGUUGACGUUGGUCGUCAUCAUGGCUGAACCUGGGGAAAGUCGUUAUCGACCUGGUCGACCUAGAUGCUUCAGGCACCCAUGCGACUUGGAGGAUGGGGAAGAUCCCAAGACAAAGUGGCUGAUGAUAAAUUGAGGAGAUACUAUGAAGACUGAGUCUGUUCUUCAUUUUGAAGAUAUAGUUUCAGCUAUAUCUUUGUGCUCUGCAAAGCAACAGAUAAUUAGAUGAGUAAACAUGAAGCUCUUGAGAUGAAGUGAUUUUAGUCACAGCUCCAAUUGAUGUUGAAAGAUGUAAAAUUGCUUGAUAGUGAAAACUAUCCUGCUGAAUAAAGCUGCAUUCCAAAAGACCGUCUGUGUGUUGUGGUGUUAUUUAAGUGAAUAUGUGCUUGUAAUUUCAUUGGUGAUUUUUUAUUAAGUCAGAAGUAA
rnacentral:lncRNA from 1 species